rnacentral:rRNA from 1 species
CUGGUUGAUCCUGCCAGUAGUCAUAUGCUAGUCUCAAAGAUUAAGCCAUGCAUGUGUAAGUAUGAACUAAUUCAGACUGUGAAACUGCGAAUGGCUCAUUAAAUCAGUUAUAGUUUGUUUGAUAGUACCUUACUACUUGGAUAACCGUGGUAAUUCUAGAGCUAAUACAUGCUAAAAACCUCGACUUCGGAAGGGGUGUAUUUAUUAGAUAAAAAACCAAUGCCCUUCGGGGCUCCUUGGUGAUUCAUGAUAACUUAACGAAUCGCAUGGCCUUGUGCCGGCGAUGGUUCAUUCAAAUUUCUGCCCUAUCAACUUUCGAUGGUAGGAUAGUGGCCUACCAUGGUUUCAACGGGUAACGGGGAAUUAGGGUUCUAUUCCGGAGAGGGAGCCUGAGAAACGGCUACCACAUCCAAGGAAGGCAGCAGGCGCGCAAAUUACCCAAUCCCGACACGGGGAGGUAGUGACAAUAAAUACUGAUACAGGGCUCUUUUGGGUCUUGUAAUUGGAAUGAGUACAAUUUAAAUCCCUUAACGAGGAACAAUUGGAGGGCAAGUCUGG